UGGGGAAUAUUGCACAAUGGGGGAAACCCUGAUGCAGCGACGCCGCGUGAGCGAAGAAGGUUUUCGAAUCGUAAAGCUCUGUCCUAUGAGAAGAUAAUGACGGUAUCAUAGGAGGAAGCCCCGGCUAAAUACGUGCCAGCAGCCGCGGUAAUACGUAUGGGGCGAGCGUUGUCCGGAAUCAUUGGGCGUAAAGGGUACGUAGGCGGAUAAGCAAGUUAGAAGUGAAAUCCUAUAGCUCAACUAUAGUAAGCUUUUAAAACUGCUCAUCUUGAGGUAUGGAAGGGAAAGUGGAAUUCCUAGUGUAGCGGUGAAAUGCGCAGAUAUUAGGAGGAAUACCGGUGGCGAAGGCGACUUUCUGGCCAUAUACUGACGCUGAGGUACGAAAGCGUGGGUAGCAAACAGG
rnacentral:rRNA from 1 species